rnacentral:rRNA from 1 species
UACGUAGGUGGCAAGCGUUGUCCGGAAUUAUUGGGCGUAAAGCGCGCGCAGGCGGCCUCUUAAGUCUGAUGUGAAAUCUUGCGGCUCAACCGCAAGCGGCCAUUGGAAACUGGGGGGCUUGAGUACAGAAGAGGAGAGUGGAAUUCCACGUGUAGCGGUGAAAUGCGUAGAUAUGUGGAGGAACACCAGUGGCGAAGGCGACUCUCUGGUCUGUAACUGACGCUGAGGCGCGAAAGGCGUGGGGAGCAAACAGG